AGUGAAUAAAAACACCAUGGAAAAAUUAACUUGGUAAUAUGAAGCAUGGGCUACAUUUCCUGAUUUCAUUUUGUGAUUUGAUGUUAGUCAGUAAACCUGUGAUUAUAUGCUACCCACAGUGAAGGUGAAUUCCAUAUAUCCAAUGAGGUUUUUCAGAAAAUGUCUUAGCUUCUUACAAAAGAGGAAGCAUGAAAUGGCUUUUCACCUCCACCUGUAUGCUGUUUCUAAGCUCAUGAAGAUAGGAUUUGCCAUAGGGAACCUAGAGAGCAAGAGGAUUGCUCACUUAAGGGGAAACUAACUACCACGUUAUGCAGCUAUACUGUAAAAAUGCACAGGGUGAGAAAUCAAGGCCUCCUUCUGACAGGAGCCACUUGCCGGUCAUGCUCUUCGAAAGACUGAAGAAAUUGACAGGACCAGAGAGAGUCCAACUAGAAGAAUGUCAGACAAACCACUGAAGUAACAUGUUGACAAAAUAACAGCUCUAAUAAAUUGCAAUUUGACUAUAAA
rnacentral:lncRNA from 1 species